GGUACACGAACGGCGGCCACCCACAACAUACAUUAAUUGGGCAUGGAUACAAUGUUGCAAAGUACCUAAUUGGAGACACACGACCACCUGCUGGGGGUGGUCUCUCAUUCGGUACUUUGCUUGUUCCACGAACAGUUCGGAGAUUCACUGUUCGUGGAUAACCAAGCUGAAUGCUAGCGGUAUUCGUGUGCUGUAACACACGAAUGCUUAAUACAUGGAUCUUGUAAUCGGGAAA